rnacentral:rRNA from 1 species
UACGGGGGGAGCAAGCGUUGUUCGGAUUUACUGGGCGUAAAGGGCGCGUAGGCGGCCACCGCAAGUCGACUGUGAAAUCUCCGGGUUUAACCCGGAAAGGUCAGCCGAUACUGCGGGGCUAGAGUGCAGAAGGGGCAACUGGAAUUCUCGGUGUAGCGGUGAAAUGCGUAGAUAUCGAGAGGAACACCUGCGGCGAAGGCGGGUUGCUGGGCUGACACUGACGCUGAAGCGCGAAAGCUAGGGGAGCGAACGGG